rnacentral:misc_RNA from 1 species
GCGUUAUUGGUUGGGGUUCCCAGGUGAAUAUUCUAUUUUAACAUUUUGUUUUACUUAAUUAUUGUUAUGUGCAUAUUUAUCUCUGUUUAUUUACUGAGAAAAGUUUGAUAAUACAAGGAAACUGAUGUUCUAUUUUUCAUUCCGAUCAACCAAGUCUAAUCACUAUUGUUCUUUUGGAAUAUCUAUGGAAAUACAGGUCUUUAUCCUCAUGUGAG